rnacentral:rRNA from 1 species
AUUAAACGCUGGCGGCGUGGAUUAGGCAUGCAAGUCGAACGGUAGGAUACCUUCGGGUAUCUGAGAGUGGCGAACGGGUGAGUAACACGUAGGUGAUCUACCCUCAAGAUUGGGACAACCCAGGGAAACUUGGGCUAAUACCGGAUGAAAGCAGCAGUGAUGUUGUUUGAAAGGUGGCGUAAGCUGCCGUUUGGGGAUGAGCCUGCGCUCUAUUAGUUAGUUGGCGGGGUAAAGGCCCACCAAGGCGAUGAUAGAUAGGCGGCCUUAACGGGUGGUCGCCCACACUGGGAUUGAGAUACGGCCCAGACUCCUACGGGAGGCAGCAGUCGAGAAUAGUCUACAAUGGCCGAAAGGCUGAUAGUGCGACGCCGCGUGAACGAAGAAGCCCUUCGGGGUGUAAAGUUCUUUUAUAUGUGAGCAGUGCUUUCUAUGUGAACAGCAUGGGGAGAGAGAUAUUAGCAUAUGAAUAAGCAACGGCUAACUCCGUGCCAGCAGCCG